GACGAACGCUGGCGGCGUGCUUAACACAUGCAAGUCGAACGGACAGGCCCUGCUUUUGUUGGUUUCUCGAUUGCCGAACGGGUGAGUAACACGUGUGUAACCUGCCCUUGUCUUUCGGAUAACUUCUGGGAACUCGGGCUCAUACCCGAUAUGAGCUCCUGCUGCAUGUUGUGGAUUGGAAAGUUACGGCGUUUGUGGCUGUUCUCGCGGCUUAUCCGCUUGUUGGUGUAGUAGUUACGUACCAAGGCUUUGACGGAUAGCCUGCCUGAGAGCGUGACCAGCGUCAAUGGGACUGAGAGACGGCCCAGACGCCUACGGGAGGCAGCAGUGGGGAAUAUGGCGGAACAGGCGGAAGCGUGAUGUAGCAACGCCGCGUGCGGGAUGACGGCUUACGGGUUGUAAACAGAUUUCUACUGUGACGAAGCGAGCGUGACGGUAAUGGGUAAAGAAGCACCGGCUAACUACGUG
rnacentral:rRNA from 1 species